CUGCUAGCAGCCGCGGUAAUACGUAGGGUCCGAGCGUUGUCCGGAGUUACUGGGCGUAAAGGGCGCGCAGGUGGCGGUGCUGGCCCGGCGUGAAAGCCCCCGGCUCAACCGGGGAGGGUUGUCGGGGACCGCACCGCUUGAGGGCGGUAGGGGCUGGUGGAAUGCCUGGUGUGGUGGUGAAAUGCGUAGAGAUCAGGCGGAACACCCGUAGCGAAGGCGGCCAGCUGGGCCGACCCUGACACUGAGGCGCGAAGGCGUGGGGAGCGAACGGGAUUAGAAACCCCAGUAGUCC
rnacentral:rRNA from 1 species